rnacentral:rRNA from 1 species
ACAUCGCACUGGGCCCUAAUAAAUCCAGUGUCGUACCUGCCCGGUGGAAAACUCUAAACGGCUGCGGUACCCUGACCGUGCAAAGGUAGCAUAAUCAUUUGCCUUUUAAUUGGUGGCUAGUAUGAAAGGUUUGUCAGCACCUUAACUGUCUCUUACUGUUUUAUUCGAAUUUGACUUUUAGGUGAAGAGGCCUAAUUAAAAUAGGAGGACGAGAAGACCCUAUAGAGCUAAAACCAUUAAAGAUGUGAUAUCUUUAAUUUUGUUGAUUGGGGCGAUCAGGGGAGAGAUAAACCUCCCCGAAUGUUGAUAUUAACACUUGAACCUCAAGUUCUGGAGAAAUAGGGAUAGCUACCUUAGGGAUAACAGCACAAUUUUUUCUGAGAGACCUGAUUGAAGAAAAAGAUUAUGACCUCGAUGUUGGACUAAGGGAGCUGGGGGGUGUAGCAGCUCCCCUGAGCUAGCCUGUUCGGCUAUCAAAUCCUUAC